rfam:Myotis davidii contig195828, whole genome shotgun sequence.
AUUUCCACUGCUGCACUGAGAGGACACCCAUCUUCCGCUGGACUUGGAAUUCCUAGAGAGCUAUGUUUGUGAACAGCUGGCAAUAGUUUCUUAACUCCCAUAUCUUCGUUUUCCUUUGUGUUGCAUUUCAGAACAUCCAGAAACC